GCUAUGCCUAGGCUGAUCUCCGAAAACUAGUACACCUCUACUAGCUGGCAUAGCUCCUACUAAAAGAGG
rfam:Xenorhabdus bovienii SS-2004 chromosome, complete genome